GGUUAAGCGACUAAGCGUACACGGUGGAUGCCCUGGCAGUCAGAGGCGAUGAAGGACGUGCUAAUCUGCGAUAAGCGUCGGUAAGGUGAUAUGAACCGUUAUAACCGGCGAUUUCCGAAUGGGGAAACCCAGUGUGUUUCGACACACUAUCAUUAACUGAAUCCAUAGGUUAAUGA
rnacentral:rRNA from 1 species